AUUGAACGCUGGCGGCAGGCCUAACACAUGCAAGUCGAGCGAGCGGCGGACGGGUGAGUACUGUCUGGGAAACUGCCUGAUGGAGGGGGAUAACUACUGGAAACGGUAGCUAAUACCGCAUACCAUCAGAUGUGCCCAGAUGGGAUGAGCUAGUAGGUGGGGUAACGGCUCACCUAGGCGACGAUCCCUAGCUGGUCUGAGGGGAUGACCAGCCAAACUGGAACUGAGACACGGUCCAAACUCCUACGGUGGGCAUCAGUGGGGAAUAUUGCACAAUGGGCGCAAGCCUGAUGCAGCCAUGCCGCGUAUGUGAAGAAGGCCUUCGGGUUGUAAAGCACUUUCAGCGGGGAGGCGUUACCCGCAGAAGAAGCACCGGCUAACUCCGUGCCAGCAGCCGCGGUAAUAC
rnacentral:rRNA from 1 species